rnacentral:sRNA from 1 species
GUGAAACUUACUCCUUCUCUUCAAUUAUAUGAGGCUUCCUAUAGGCUCCGGCUUUUCUUGAUACUUCAAAAAACACAAAAAGAAAUUUAUAUUUAUUGAUGAUGGAAGAAGAGCAAAGCAAAUGAGAGACAGAGACACAGACCCUAUAUCAGAGAGUAAAUUGGUGAAGUGGAUUGGAUCACAUAAGGUACGUAACUAGAAGAAGUAAGUGAUCUUUUUGUGUCUGUGCAUAUAAGCUAAUUUUGAGACCUUGGUUUUGUUUUCCUCUUUCUGUUGCGUGAAGCCAUGGAGUCUCCGAGAAACCAUGGAGGCUCUGAAGAGGAGGAAUACAGCAGUUGUGAGUCAGGGUGGACUAUGUACAUAGAAGACGCCUUCCAUGGAAAUGACCAAUCAUCUGUUGUUGUCGAUGAUGAUGAUGAUGAUACACAGGUUAAAGAGGCUGAUGAUGGUUAUGAGAACGAUGAUGGCGAUACUAGUGAUGA